UACGUAGGGUGCAAGCGUUAUUCGGAAUUACUGGGCGUAAAGCGUGCGCAGGCGGUCUUGUAAGUCCGAUGUGAAAUCCCCGGGCUUAACCUGGGAACUGCAUUGGUGACUGCAUUGCUAGAGUAUGGCAGAGGGGGGUGGAAUUCCACGUGUAGCAGUGAAAUGCGUAGAGAUGUGGAGGAACACCGAUGGCGAAGGCAGCCCCCUGGGCCAAUACUGACGCUCAUGCGCGAAAGCGUGGGGAGCAAACAGG
rnacentral:rRNA from 1 species